UGAGUAACCUGCCCUUAACUCUGGGAUAAGCCUGGGAAACUGGGUCUAAUACCGGAUAGGAGCGUCCACCGCAUGGUGGGUGUUGGAAAGAUUUAUCGGUUUUGGAUGGACUCGCGGCCUAUCAGCUUGUUGGUGAGGUAAUGGCUCACCAAGGCGACGACGGGUAGCCGGCCUGAGAGGGUGACCGGCCACACUGGGACUGAGACACGGCCCAGACUCCUACGGGAGGCAGCAGUGGGGAAUAUUGCACAAUGGGCGCAAGCCUGAUGCAGCGACGCCGCGUGAGGGAUGACGGCCUUCGGGUUGUAAACCUCUUUCAGUAGGGAAGAAGCGAAAGUGACGGUACCUGCAGAAGAAGCACCGGCUAACUACGUGCCAGCAGCCGCGGUAAUACGUAGGGUGCGAGCGUUAUCCGGAAUUAUUGGGCGUAAAGAGCUCGUAGGCGGUUUGUCGCGUCUGUCGUGAAAGUCCGGGGCUUAACCCCGGAUCUGCGGUGGGUACGGGCAGACUAGAGUGCAGUAGGGGAGACUGGAAUUCCUGGUGUAGCGGUGGAAUGCGCAGAUAUCAGGAGGAACACCGAUGGCGAAGGCAGGUCUCUGGGCUGUAACUGACGCUGAGGAGCGAAAGCAUGGGGAGCGAACAGGAUUAGAUACCCUGGUAGUCCAUGCCGUAAACGUUGGGCACUAGGUGUGGGGACCAUUCCACGGUUUCCGCGCC
rnacentral:rRNA from 1 species